rnacentral:lncRNA from 1 species
CAUUUUUGCAAAACGUCAUCCAUGAAGUAACCAGAGCUGUGAGCUGCAAUUGGCACUAUUAAACCACUCUCGGCAUUCAGACUCUCAAAGUCAAAUUCGUAAGUACUAAAAAUGCUGGACAAGAACAUGCCGGCCG